rnacentral:rRNA from 1 species
GUGGGGAAUCUUGCGCAAUGGGCGAAAGCCUGACGCAGCCAUGCCGCGUGAAUGAUGAAGGUCUUAGGAUUGUAAAAUUCUUUCACCGGGGACGAUAAUGACGGUACCCGGAGAAGAAGCUCCGGCUAACUUCGUGCCAGCAGCCGCGGUAAUACGAAGGGGGCUAGCGUUGCUCGGAAUUACUGGGCGUAAAGGGCGCGUAGGCGGACAGCUUAGUCAGAGGUGAAAGCCCAGGGCUCAACCUUGGAAUUGCCUUUGAUACUGACUGUCUUGAGUUUGGGAGAGGUGAGUGGAACUCCGAGUGUAGAGGUGAAAUUCGUAGAUAUUCGGAAGAACACCAGUGGCGAAGGCGACUCACUGGCCCAAUACUGACGCUGAGGCGCGAAAGCGUGGGGAGCAAACAGGAUUAGAUACCCUGGUAGUCC